GAUGUGUAUAAGAGACAGGUGAGUCAUCGAAUCUUUGAACGCACAUUGCGCCCCUUGGUAUUCCGAGGGGCAUGCCUGUUCGAGCGUCAUUUGUACCUCAAGCUCUGCUUGGUGUUGGGUGUUUGUCUGCCAUGGUGGCCGGACUCACCUUGAAUAUAUUGGCAGCUAGGGCGUUGGCUUUGGAGCGCAGCACAAUUUGCGCCUCCGGCUGAUACUGUAGCACCCAUGAAGCAACUACUACUUUUGACCUCGGAUCAGGUAGGGAUACCCGCUGAACUUAAGCAUAUCAAUAAGCGGAGG
rnacentral:misc_RNA from 1 species